CCGAAGCCCUGCUCUUCACUCUUCGGGCUUUGCUGAGAGCCUCCCCCUUGGCCACCUCCCUUUCUGUUCUACUCCCCACUUCCCUGCUGACUUCCCAAGAGUACUUACUCAGUCGGCCUUGGAUGAAUGUGAAGCUGGGCACCAUGCCUCCCUGCCACUCUGAGGACACCCAAGCAGUGCAUGAAGAGGCCCAGGUGGAAAGGAAUUAAGAGCCCUGGCAAGCAACCUACAACAAUUUUCCUGCCAUGUGAGUGGAUCCUUAGCCCCAGUUGAGCUUUCAGAUAAUGGCAGCCCCAGCCAUCAACUACCUUCAACCUUAUGAGACCCCAAGCACAGCCCAACCGAGAUUCUCAGUUCCUUAUGCACAGAAACAGUGAGAAAUGAGAAGUGAUUGCUGUUGUUUUGAACCUUAAUUUCGGAGGUAAUUUGUUAUGCAGCAAUAAAUAACUAAGACAUCUUCUGAAAUGUCUCUCAAUCCCUCUUCUAUAUUUUCUGUGCUGUCUCUCUCCACUAUUUUCUGAAUAAUUUUUGGCUAUAUCUUCUAGUUCACUAAUUCCCCCUCAGUGGUAUCUAAU
rnacentral:lncRNA from 1 species